GACGAACGCUGGCGGCGUGCUUAACACAUGCAAGUCGAACGCUGAAGACCUGGCUUUUGUUGGGUUGGAUGAGUGGCGAACGGGUGAGUAACACGUGAGUAACCUGCCCUCUUCUUUGGGAUAACGCCCGGAAACGGGUGCUAAUACUGGAUAUUCACUGGCCUUCGCAUGGGGGUUGGUGGAAAGGUUUGUUCUGGUGGGGGAUGGGCUCGCGGCCUAUCAGCUUGUUGGUGGGGUGAUGGCCUACCAAGGCUUUGACGGGUAGCCGGCCUGAGAGGGGGACCGGUCACAUUGGGACUGAGAUACGGCCCAGACUCCUACGGGAGGCAGCAGUGGGGAAUAUUGCACAAUGGGCGAAAGCCUGAUGCAGCGACGCCGCGUGAGGGAUGGAGGCCUUCGGGUUGUAAACCUCUUUCGCUCAUGGUCAAGCCGCAACUGUGGGUUGUGGUGAGGGUAGUGGGUAAAGAAGCGCCGGCUAACUACGUG
rnacentral:rRNA from 1 species